UACGGAGGGUGCGAGCGUUGUCCGGAAUCACUGGGCUUAAAGCGUGUGUAGGCGGACUUCUAAGUACCUUGUGAAAUCCCACGGCUCACCCGUGGAACUGCUUGGUAUACUGGUUGUCUUGAGCCUUCUAGGGGCGAGUGGAACAAAUGGUGGAGCGGUGAAAUGCGUAGAUAUCAUUUGGAACGCCAAUGGUGAAAACAACUCGCUGGGGAAGUGCUGACGCUGAGACACGAAAGCCAGGGGAGCGAACGGG
rnacentral:rRNA from 1 species